rnacentral:misc_RNA from 1 species
AGCGUAGAGCAGUCGCCGCGCGGAUACAAAGACGAGGACCGGAGAUAGAAUCGCACGUGGAAGGCGGCAGCCACAGGCUGACAUACGCAUCGAGGUGUACGCGUAGACGACAGUAUCCCAUUGCACCCACGCCCACCCACUGCCCGUGAUGUGGACGGCUGUCGUAGCAUCGGGCGGGGGCAGCAAGGGGAAUCCGCCCACAGCGUUGUCGGCGGCGGUGUGUGAUGGAAAGCCGAUGACCACGGCUGGACCGCAGGCCCCAACGACUAGAGAUGGGCUGUGGCAAUCUUCGCUGCUGCGCCAGCGCGUCGCCGCCGGGGCUAGCUUCAAGAACGUGGCGCUGUCCCACGCCGCAGACAUUCUGCGCUCCGAAUCGGCCCGUGUGGACGCGCAGCUGAUCGACGACUUCAGCUCCAUUUUACGCGGCAACGUCGUGUACAUUCACAACUUCAUCUGCCAUGAGAAGGACAUGCGGCUCUACAACUCCCUCAAGGAGGAGCUGGUCGCGGCGACAGGCGCCAAGAUGCUCGGCAGCGGAGGCUUGAUUGACUGGAGCAAGCAUCAAGUCUUCGAUAACCCCUCCUACAUCAGCCAGACCUUCAACGACAUCAUCGACAUGCUCGCCGAGUACUUCGACGUUGACGUGUACGCGACGCGGCUGAACUACUACCGGGACGGAACUCAGUGGAAGCCUCAGCACCACGACAGCCACGCCUACGGCGGCCGCGCGCUUCGCGAGGACUUCACAGUGGGCCUGUCGCUCGGCGCAACGCGCAGCCUUCUCUUUGUGCACGAGGCUUCGCAGCGCGACUUCAAUUUUCCGCAGGUGAACGGUGACUGCUUCGCCUUCACGGGGGAGGUCAACAACCUGUUCACCCACGGCGUGCCCCGCGUGCACACGCCAACAGGUGAUCGCUUCAGCAUUAUCGCCUGGGGGCGGCGUCGCACGUUGAAUGAGCGCAACGGUGGCGUGCCGAGUAGCGCGGUGGCGCAGGUGAAGGGGCACCACAUCAACACCAUGGAAGACGCGGUCGAGGUUGCGAAGCAGCUCGUGGCGGCGCAGCCUGGCGCUGCGGUAGCGAAGAAGGCGAUGCCACCGCCGUGCACCUCGGGCGACGCGAGCAGCAAUGGGGUUGCCCCAGCCACACGACCGGCGAAGCGUCACAAACGCCGCCUCCAGUAGCCAUCGUUUGCAGGGCGGAUAGUGAAGCGGCUUGCAAGGUUCUCUGUGCUGCUCUCUGUGCCCCCCCCUCCCGCAACGCACGUUGGACGCGCAAGCGCACACACACAGACACACACACACACACACACACACACACGCACACGCUAUGACGACGUGGCGGAGACACGCCUCCCCCUGCGCAGCGCCUCAGCGUCCAGCGCCUACGACGUGGGAGGGAGGGGGGAGCGCAGAGCGGUGUGGCGCUACGCAUGUCGGCCAUCAGAUCCUGGAUGGCGUUGCGUCGGAGUCACCCGCGGCCGCGGACACGUUUGUGGCACCCGUAUGACAGGCGAAGCGUCCGCGUGCCUCGAACCUGUCCCACCCACGCCCCGGCCUUCACAGCGCCCGCUGCUGGUGUGGCGGGGAGCCUGAGAGCCGCCCCUCCCCCCCCCCCCCCCCCCCCCCGAGUGGGGAUGCGCCAAGGCGGCGGACCUGCGAGGCGGCGGUGCGGGCAGAGGUUGAGGCAGGGGCCGUGCGCCGAUGGCUGCGUCGGCGCAUUGCUGUGCCGCGUGUGUCUACGGCCGGGCGUCGAGUGGCGCGGCGUUGAGCUCGUCGUGUAUGGCUGAGAGAUGGGCCACACGUUGGAAGCAACACGACAAAAGCACAGCGGCGCGUGGAGGGUGAGCUAAGGGAGGGAACGCCGCCGUAGGAGCGUACUGGUGGGCGGCAGAGCGAAGGAGUCAUGUGCGGGCUUCUGCGAGUUACGCACCACCGCCUCCUUCCAGGGCAAACAACUGCAGCUCGAGAGAGCGACGGAAGGCGGGUGGCCGAGUCCGGCAUGGCAGGAGUUGGAGCCGCGUCACAGCAGGAAAGGGAGGUCUCAAGGUCACGUAAUAUAUCG